rnacentral:rRNA from 1 species
UACAGAGGGUGCAAGCGUUAAUCGGAAUUACUGGGCGUAAAGCGUGCGUAGUCGGUUAUCUAAGUCGGGUGUGAAAUCCCCGGGCUCAACCUGGGAAUUGCAUUCGAUACUGGAUAGCUAGAGUUCGGCAGAGGGAAGCGGAAUUUCGGGUGUAGCGGUGAAAUGCGUAGAUAUCUGGAGGAACACCGGUGGCGAAGGCGGCAUCCUGGACCGGUAUUGACGCUGAGGCGCGAAAGCCAGGGGAGCAAACGGG